GCAUAUCAAUAAGCGGAGGAAAAGAAACCAACAGGGAUUGCCCUAGUAACGGCGAGUGAAGCGGCAACAGCUCAAAUUUGAAAUCUGGCGCAAGCCCGAGUUGUAAUUUGUAGAGGAUGUUUCUGGCGACGCGCCUUCCGAGUUCCCUGGAACGGGACGCCAUAGAGGGUGAGAGCCCCGUACGGUUGGAUGCCUAGCCUCUGUGAAACUCCUUCGACGAGUCGAGUAGUUUGGGAAUGCUGCUCUAAAUGGGAGGUAUACGUCUUCUAAAGCUAAAUACCGGCCAGAGACCGAUAGCGCACAAGUAGAGUGAUCGAAAGAUGAAAAGCACUUUGAAAAGAGGGUUAAAAAGUACGUGAAAUUGUUGAAAGGGAAGCGUUCAUGACCAGACUUGGGCAGGUUGAUCAUCCGUGGUUCUCCGCGGUGCACUCUGCCUGCCCAGGCCAGCAUCAGUUCGCUCCGGGGGAUAAAGGCUCUGGGAAUGUGGCUCCUUCGGGAGUGUUAUAGCCCACUGCGUAAUACCCUGGGGUGGACUGAGGUUCGCGCUCUGCAAGGAUGCUGGCGUAAUGGUCAUCAACGACCCGUCUUGAAACACGGACCAAGGAGUCGUCUUCGUAUGCGAGUGUUCGGGUGUCAAACCCCUACGCGUAAUGAAAGUGAACGUAGGAGAGAGCUUCGGCGCAUCUCCGACCGAUCCUGAUGUUCUCGGAUGGAUUUGAGUAAGAGCAUACGGGGCCGGACCCGAAAGAAGGUGAACUAUGCCUGUAUAGGGUGAAGCCAGAGGAAACUCUGGUGGAGGCUCGCAGCGGUUCUGACGUGCAAAUCGAUCGUCAAAUAUGGGCAUGGGGGGCGAAAGACUAAUCGAACCUUCUAGUAGCUGGUUUUCCGCCGAAGU
rnacentral:rRNA from 1 species